rnacentral:lncRNA from 1 species
GAUACAUGGUAUAAAAAAUGAAUAAAAUGUAUAAAUAUCUAAAUUAUUAAAUUCAAGAUCUUUUCAAAAUGUUUAAGUAAUGAAGUACAGAUUUUCAUCUGCAAUUUUGGAAUUCAAGAUUCACUUGCAUUGAUUUCAACAUGCAAUGCUCAACAGAGUGACAGCUAACAUAUCAACGAUAAAGCACAGUUGUACGCAACCUUAGAGAAUCAAUUUAAGAAAUUCAAAACAAAGAUGAACAAAGAAUCACACAGAACAUAUAAGAUACCAAAGAAAUCAUUUUGAUAUUACACUAUAUUCACACACUUCAUAGUUCACUGAUUGCAGUCUGUCCAACUAACAUUUUUUUUAUUGGAAUUCUUCCUUUUUCUUGUGACUUAAACAUUCAAGACUACCAUACUUUGGAAAAAUGAAUUCAUGUGGGCAAUAUCUUAUCAAAUAUGAUUGCAUCAUAUCAUUGUCCUAUAUCAAAGUUUAAGACAGGCUUUAAAUAUGGAUCCAUCAUGAUCCAAGCAAUUGUGUUCAAUCCAACAUUAAAUGCUUGGGGGCCGUUUCAUGAAGCUGUUUGCAAGUUAGGAGUUACUUUGAGAACGACGUCGCUGGUGAUCUUUUCUUGUGGUAAAUGAUAUUGACCAUUAAAUCUUCAUUGGUGAUUAUUUAGCACAUAAGAAAUGUUCACCAGUCGUUCUUAAAGUCGCUCUUAACUUACAAACAGCUUUACGGAACACCCACCAAGCCAUUUAUAUCCUGGUGACCCUUUUGUGUUUAAUGGUGUACACCAAAAUGUUCAUUGGCGAUGGUUUAGCGCGUAAGAAAGGAUCACCAGUGGUUCUUAAAGUCGCUCUUAACUUACAAACAGCUUUAUGAUACACCAACCAGCACCUUCUGAAUAAAUAGCAUGAUUUGACUACUGGUGGUUGUUUCAUGAAGCUCUUUGUUAGAUACAAAUGACUUUACGCACGACUGGUAACCCUAUCUCAUACCACGUGAUAUAUCCCUAUGUAAUUGCAUUCAGACCUAAGAUCAUGUUCCAGUCAUGCCUAAAGUUGUGUGUAACUUUACAAAAAGCUUUAUGAAACACCCACCUGGGGGCCAUUUCAUAAAGCUAUUCGCAAGUUAAGAGUGAUUUUAAGAAUGACUGGUGAUCCUUUCUUAUGGGCUAAGCCAUCACCAAUGAACAUUCAAGUGUACACCAUUUACCACACAAAAGGAUCACCAGUCAUUCUUAAAUUUGCUCUUGACUUACGAACAGCUUUACAAAAAACCCACCUUUAUAUGAAAAAAAAUCUUUGAAAAUCAUGUGGAAGGGCUGUCAAUUGGUUGCAAAUUAUGUAGUUUAUUAAUGUUGUGAAUAACCAUAUAUUAUCAAAACCUAUAUUUCUGUUUGUAUGUUAUGAGAAUAACAAUAAUAAAAUGGCUCUUGUAUUUCAAAUCACCUUUGAUACACUUUUUCAACAGUACUCCUCUUGUGAUGAAAAUGGAAUGACCUUAAAAAGACAUAAGUAAAUCAACAAGGUACUUAAGACACACUUGAGCAAUUCCAUAAAAUGAUCAACCUUUUUGUACGUCUGACCCCCAUUUUCAUCAAGUCUUACUUCACUUCAUAAACUGACCAAGUCAUGGUCCUUUGAGAGCAUUACAGACUGUCAAAAGAACAAGAAAUCAGAGACAGAAAAUUUCAUGAAGGUCCCACCUAGAGGGGUCGGACAUACAUAUUUCAUGGAACUGCCCACUUUAUUAACCUUUUCAAACAACAGUAUCGCUACAGACAUACCCACGAAACCGAAUCCAAACUGAUCAAUGGUAUGUCGUAAGAAAUGACAUAAUAGCUAUUGUCAUUUUGGAGAUUGUUUUGCUGGUAAGGCAGUAGAAUAAAUUCAGAGACCACUUUUCAAUGUAAACAAAAAAGGAGAAAAUUCUUUUUCUUAAGUAUUACACAUGAACGAAAGACAGAAGUAACAAUCAUCAUCUGCAAAAAAUUAAUACCACUUACAACUUCUAACCAUGACUCGCUUCCAUUGAAACAAGUCAUGCCUGGCACGAUCCAACAUUUUGGAAUUCAUGGCAAGAUAUCAAUAUUUCUGCCAUUUCAAUAAAAAAUAAUUGAUAGAAAUCAGUUCAACGAUGCCUAUGCAUUGAUUACUUAAUUAGUAUGAACAUAACGUUCACCGUCUUUACAGGUUUGAGUGAUACCUUUUUCUGACCCUGCAUGCAAUGCAUGCACUUUCUCCAAUCCCUGGGAGCAUUUUGAACAAGAGCUUCUAAAACCCAACUGCAAGGCAUACUACAUAGGCUUUCUCAUCAAUUAUAAUCAAAUGAUAUAUACCAAGGCCAUAGAGGGCAAAGAAGAACCCUUUCAAUCCAUAACAUGCAGCAUAGCUGUUUGCCUUAUAGGCAAUGAAAGGCCU